rnacentral:rRNA from 1 species
UACGAAGGGUGCAAGCGUUAAUCGGAAUUAUUGGGCGUAAAGCGCGCGCAGGCGGGAUGGUAAGUCGGAUGUGAAAGCCCUCGGCUCAACCGAGGAAGUGCGUUCGAAACUACUGUUCUUGAGUGUCGGAGAGGGUGGCGGAAUUCCCGGUGUAGAAGUGAAAUUCGUAGAUAUCGGGAGGAACACCAGAGGCGAAGGCGGCCACCUGGACGAACACUGACGCUGAGGCGCGAAAGCGUGGGGAGCAAACAGG